rnacentral:rRNA from 1 species
AUUGAACGCUGGCGGCAGGCCUAACACAUGCAAGUCGAGCGAGGGGCGGACGGGUGAGUAAUGUAUGGGGGUCUGCCCGAUAGAGGGGGAUAACUAGUGGAAACGGUGGCUAAUACCGAAUACUAUAGGAUGAACCAAUAUGGGAUUAGCUAGUAGGGGGGGUAAAGGCUCACCGAGGCGACGAUCUCUAGCUGGUCUGAGAGGAUGAACAGCCACACUGGGACUGAGACACGGCCCAGACUCCUACGGGAGGAAGCAGUGGGGAAUAUUGCACAAUGGGCGCAAGCCUGAUGCAGCCAUGCCGCGGGUAUGAAGAAGGCCUUAGGGUUGUAAAGUACUUUCAGCGGGGAGGCGUUACCCGCAGAAGAAGCACCGGCUAACUCCGUGCCAGCAGCCGCGGUAAUUC